UACGUAGGGUGCAAGCGUUGUCCGGAAUUAUUGGGCGUAAAGAGCUCGUAGGCGGUUCGUCGCGUCGGCUGUGAAAACCCGGAGCUCAACUCCGGGCCUGCAGUCGAUACGGGCGGACUUGAGUGUUGCAGGGGAGACUGGAAUUCACGGUGUAGCGGUGAAAUGCGUAGAUAUCGUGGAGAACACCCGUGGCGAAGGCGGGCUUCUGGCUAAUUACUGACGCUGAGGUGCGAAAGCUAGGGGAGCGAACGGG
rnacentral:rRNA from 1 species